rnacentral:rRNA from 1 species
UACAAUGGAGAGUUUGAUCCUGGCUCAGGAUGAACGCUAGCGGCAGGCUUAACACAUGCAAGUCGAGGGGUAACAGGGAAAAGCUUGCUUUUCCGCUGACGACCGGCGCACGGGUGCGUAACACGUAUGCAACCUACCUCUUACUGAAGGAUAGCCCAGAGAAAUUUGGAUUAAUACUUCAUAACACCACAAGAUCGCAUGAUCUAAUGGUUAAAGGUUACGGUAAGAGAUGGGCAUGCGUCCUAUUAGUUUGUUGGUGAGGUAAUGGCUCACCAAGACUACGAUAGGUAGGGGGCCUGAGAGGGUUAUCCCCCACACUGGUACUGAGACACGGACCAGACUCCUACGGGAGGCAGCAGUGAGGAAUAUUGGUCAAUGGAG